AUUGAACGCUGGCGGCAGGCUUAACACAUGCAAGUCGAGCGGGGGAAGGUAGCUUGCUACUGGACCUAGCGGCGGACGGGUGAGUAAUGCUUAGGAAUCUGCCUAUUAGUGGGGGACAACAUCUCGAAAGGGAUGCUAAUACCGCAUACGUCCUACGGGAGAAAGCAGGGGAUCUUCGGACCUUGCGCUAAUAGAUGAGCCUAGGUCGGAUUAGCUAGUUGGUGGGGUAAAGGCCUACCAAGGCGACGAUCUGUAGCGGGUCUGAGAGGAUGGUCCGCCAAACUGGGGCUGAGACACGGCCCAGACUCCUACGGGAGGCAGCAGUGGGGAAUAUUGGACAAUGGGGGGAACCCUGAUCCAGCCAUGCCGCGUGUGUGAAGAAGGCCUUAUGGUUGUAAAGCACUUUAAGCGAGGAGGAGGCUACUCUAGUUAAUACCUAGGGAUAGUGGACGUUACUCGCAGAAUAAGCACCGGCUAACUCUGUGCCAGCCGCCGCGGUAA
rnacentral:rRNA from 1 species